ACGGCGAGUGAAGCGGCAACAGCUCAAAUUUGAAAUCUGGCCUCGGCCCGAGUUGUAAUUUGCAGAGGAUGCUUCCGGCGACGUGCCUUCCGAGUCCCCUGGAACGGGGCGCCUGAGAGGGUGAGAGCCCCGUACGGUUGGACGCCGAGCCUGUGUGAAGCUCCUUCGACGAGUCGAGUAGUUUGGGAAUGCUGCUCUAAAUGGGAGGUAAAUUCCUUCUAAAGCUAAAUACCGGCCAGAGACCGAUAGCGCACAAGUAGAGUGAUCGAAAGAUGAAAAGCACUUUGGAAAGAGGGUUAAACAGUACGUGAAAUUGCUGAAAGGGAAGCGCUCGCGACCAGACUCGCGCCGGGCGGAUCAUCCAGCGUUCUCGCUGGUGCACUUCGCCCGGCCCGGGCCAGCAUCGGUUCUAGCGGGGGGACAAAAGCCCGGGAAACGUAGCUCCCUCCGGGGAGUGUUAUAGUCCCUCGCCUAAUAUCCCCGCCGGGACCGAGGACCGCGCCUCGUGCAAGGAUGCUGGCGUAAUGGUCGCCAGCGACCCGUCUUGAAACACGGACCAAGGAGUCGAACAUUCGUGCGAGUGUUUGGGUGGAAACCCCUCACGCGUAAUGAAAGUGAACGGAGGUGGGAGCCUCGGCGCACCAUCGACCGAUCCUGAAGCUUGUCGGAUGGAUUUGAGUGGGAGCAUGACUGUUCGGACCCGAAAGAUGGUGAACUAUGCCUGCGUAGGGUGAAGCCAGAGGAAACUCUGGUGGAGGCUCGCAGCGGUUCUGACGUGCAAAUCGAUCGUCAAACGUGGGCAUGGGGGCGAAAGACUAAUCGAACCAUCUAGUAGCUGGUUU
rnacentral:rRNA from 2 species